AUGAGUCUUCGCCAAAAAGACGCUUAGGUUAUGCUCUUAGGUGUCGCCCAAGGAUGAGGCCGCGACCGAUCAGGUUGUUGGUGAGGUAAUGGCUCACCAAGCCUUUUACCGGUGCGGGCCGUGAGAGCGGGAGCCCGGAGAUGGGCACUGAGACAAGGGCCCAGGCCCUACGGGGCGCAGCAGUCGCGAAAACUUUGCAAUACACGAAAGUGUGACAGGGCUAUCCCGAGUGCCAUCCGCUGAGGAAGGCUUUUACCCAGUCUAGAACGCUGGGGGAAUAAGGAGAGGGCAAGUCUGGUGUCAGCCGCCGCGGUAAUACCAGCUCUCCGAGUGGUGUGGAUGUUUAUUGGGCCUAAAGCAUCCGUAGCUGGCUAAGUUAGUCCCUUGUUAAAUCCACCGAAUUAAUCGUUGGAUUGCGGGGGAUACUGCUUGGCUAGGGGACGAGAGAGGCAGACGGUAUUUCCGGGGUAGGGGUGAAAUCCUAUAAUCCCGGGAAGACCACCAGUGGCGAAGGCUGUCUGCUAGAACGCGCCCGACGGUGAGGGAUGAAAGCUGGGGGAGCGAACCGGAUUAGAUACCCGGGUAGUCCCAGCUGUAAACGAUGCAGGCUAGGUGUUUGGACGGCCACGUGCCGUUCUAGUGCCGCAGGAAGCUGUUA
rnacentral:rRNA from 1 species